rnacentral:rRNA from 1 species
AAUCACGUGAACCAUCCAGUUUUUGAACGCAAGUUGCGCCCGAAGCCUUCGGGCCGAGGGCACGCCUGCCUGGGCGUCACGCAUCGCGUCGCCCCCUCCCCCCGCUCCCCGAGAGGAGGGGCGGACAAUGGCCUCCCGUGCGCCCCCGUCGCGCGGCCGGCCC